ACUACUACAAUAAAUUAUCGAUUACAUCCUGGAAGAGAAUAAAAAGUUCAUUAACUAUAACUCAUUGAUCGUGAAAACAUAACAAUUAAGGCCAUUUCUCCAUCAUGUCACGAAGUUUAUCAAUGGGUGCAGCAAAAAGUCCUGCGACGGUUUCGAAGGGAGGUUUAUUUGGAGCAGAAGGAUGGCUAUGCGUAGGAACAAACUUCUUUGUUCUUUCAAAAGAAGAUGCCAUAUGUAAUGACUCUUCUUCGCUAAGAUGCUUUUCCAAAAAGGGAAUAUCAUGUUGCUCCUCCUCGUCAAUAUGUUUCUGAAGAGAUUCCAUUAGCUCAUCCAAAGCGGGAAUAAAAUUACUCUGGUUAGCCUUCAUUGAUUGAAAUUUAUAUAGCAUUUCCUUAACUAAUUGGUGUUCGUGUCUGUCUUUCUCCGCCAUUUCUUUCCCUUCCUCGCCAAGGUACUUUUCGAACUUGGGAUAAACAACAAUUUCCUCUCCGACCGAAUGUCUUGCAAGUUCCCAAACAAAUUGGUUUUGCCAUCUAGUAGCAGUAUCAUAGUCGUUUGCCGACUUUAUAUUUUGGUAAUCGCUUUGCAAUUUCCUAUGAUCUUUAAAAAUAGCAUCUGAAAUUCUUGUCAUCUUGUAACUUAAUAGUCUUACAGGGAAAAAAUUGAGACUAACUUUUUUCUUGGAAUACUGAAGCAUUUGGAUUUUAUGUAGUGAAGGAUCUAUAUAUAUUCCAUUUUUGAAUAGCUGCACAAAACUAUUGCAAAUGUACGUAACCACUAAACUCUUAUUGCAAAUGUACGUAACCACUAAACUCUUAGCUCAACAUAUAUUUUUGCAGACACUUUAUAUUAAUCGCCUCUUUGCCUUCAUUACUUUGUACAUGCUACGUCGUGCUGUUGCUAAAGUCUUCUUUU